UUGUUGUUGUCGUCGUCGCCGUUGUUGUUUUUGUUGUUGUUGUUGUUGUCGUCGUCGUUGUUGUUUUUGUUGUUGUUGUUGUUAUUGUUAUUGUUGUUGUUGUUGUUGUUGUUGUUGUUGUUGUUGUGGUUGUUGUUGUUGUUGUUGUUGUUGUUGUUGUUGUUGUGGUUGUUUAUGUUGUUGUUGUUUUCGUCGUCGUCGUCUUUGUUGUUGUUGUUGUUGUUGUUUAUGUUGUUGUUGUUGUUGUUG
rnacentral:lncRNA from 1 species